GGGGAUGUAGCUCAGAUGGUAGAGCGCUCGCUUAGGCUCGCUUAGCAUGCGAGAAGUACGGGGAUCGAUACCCUGCAUCUCCA
rnacentral:tRNA from 1 species